CGUCAGAGGAUCGUUUGCACUCCCGAGGAAAAGUUUGAGGGCGCCAUGUUUUCACGGGAAGCCGGUGGAAUACGACAUGAACAGUCUUUAACAACGAAAUUAAUCGAUGUGGAGUCAUAUGGAAUAUUGAAGGACGUUGACGCUCAAGAAUUUGGUCUCAACAGCUUAAGACGAGGGUGGGGGUAUACUGGAGUCUAUCCCAGCUGACAAGAGGCAAGAGGCGGUGUACACCCUGGACUGGUGGCCAGCCAAUCACAGGGCACAUAUAGACAAACAACCAUUCACACUCACAUUCAUACCUAUGGACAAUUUGGAGUCGCCAAUUAACCUAGCAUGUUUUUGGAAUGUGGGAGGAAACUGGAGUACCCGGACAAAACUCUCACAUGCACGGGGAGAACAUGCAAACUCCACACAGAGAUGCAACGGAGAAUCAAAGCCAGGUCUUUGGUUUAGUUAUGAAAUGUUUAAUUUAUUUCACAGGUUCCUCUUCCUUGUAUUUUUGUGCACCAUGAUCAAGUAUGUCCUUCCUUUUGAUGACCACAUACGUAUAUAAAUGGCCCCUCUGCCAAAUGUUUUCAUUCAAUGUGGCCGGCAAGUACAACAAAUGUAGUAAUGGUGUUCUGGUUUGAAAGAAUGUUUUGUAAAAGAUGUGUUAAGAUAAUUUCAUUUAAUUCAAAGAAGGUCAUCUUAAAGAAAUACAACACAAUCAUAUUAGAAAAGUGGUGUAGGUGGUAGCUUAAAUCUCAUGUAUAUAUUACUUACAAAUUGCUCCAAAUGAAGUAAGGGAAAACUAGUUAAACAAUCCUGAAAGGUGAGUAUAUUUAAAUGGAUUGUUAAGUAGAUUCAAAGGUAGUUUUGAGUAAAAUUUACUAGCAAAGAAAGUACCUUUUGUGUCUAAGACAGUACAUCUCAAGUAAUAUUAAAGAGUAUUUUUAAUUAAACAAAUAAUCCUUGCUGACAAGUAAAUUAUACUUGAAUAUUUCUUAAGUAAAAGUUACUUAGGAAUUGUGUGUGCAAUUUGUUACCUAGCUUUUUUCAAGUAAAUGGCACUCCACAUUUUCAGUGUACAGUAAUAUCACAAAUCAGAUAUUGAAAGCAUACUUUUGUAAUUAUAUACAUAUGAUUGUGACUUUUUGCACAGGAAAGGUCAUGUACUUUAGUUUUAUAGAUAAAAUGCGUCGGUGUGCUCCUUGUUAUCACAUGUUAGGCACACGAUGCCCUCUGGUGGUGAAUAUUUGUCAUGCCACCUCAUUUUUCACCACACUUUUUUGUUUGCACUAAAAUUCUACUUUGACUGAUUAGUGUUGAUGUAUGCUGAUUGACAGAUCAUUAAAAUAAGUAUUAAUGAAUCAAUGUGUAUUUAUUACUAUUACGGUAUUAUAUAGUAAUUGAUGUUGCACUACAGCCCCAGUAUUAUUGGGACACUGAUAUCAUAUUGUUCAGUUAAUUGAGCUAUGUCGUGUUUAGAAGGCUAUGUCAUAGACUUUGUGUCUUGCUGAUGUGAUUUGUCUGUGGAUUAACUUUAAUUUUGGUUUCUGUUUUCCAGGUUGUGGACUUGUUAAUUGACGAGAAGACAGCAGCUCCUCUACAGUAAGACGUGUGUGAAUAUAAUUGAUACAGGCCAUCAUCACAUCAUGAGACAUGUAAGACAGCAGCAGUACACGUGAGGAUUCAUAAAGACAUUCUGUCCAGCUGACAGAUUGGAAUGUGGCGCCUCCUGCGGGUUAAGGCUGCAGACAAGGUGGCAAGAGUGGACUGGAGUUGAUUCGGCUCCAGAAAAAGAGGAGAGGAGGAGAAGAGGAGGUUUUUUAGGUGAGUUGACAGUGUAACCUGCAUGGUGCUUGCAGCCUUAAGCCAGAGAUGAGCGUUAAUGCCCCCACAAUCCAAUAAUGAUCCAAUAUGAACAUGUGUUUAGCCACUUAUCAUGCAGCUCUAAGCGGAUGGGGAAACAUUUCAUUUACAUUUUAUAUUUCAUUAUUUAAAAAAAAACACUAUUAUAGGGUAAAUAUUUUUAGGGGUAACUAUUGUGAUAUGCAACAACAACAAACGGGCCCUCAGCACUGAAGUGGUUUAAGUUUUCAACAAAUAUUUUAUGUAGGAACACCAAGAAAAGUGAAGGAAAGGGGGAUAGAAAAGAGAAUGAGACGAGAGGAAGAACAAGAAGGGCAAGGUGGGUGGCGGGGGCAAUAAUUAUGUACAAGCAUAUUUCUACACGUAUAUUACACAGCGGGAGAAUGAUGGCGUUAUUUUCGACAUAUUAUAUACAUCAUUCCAUAUAAAAUUUUGAAAAUAAAAAAUAAAAAUCUGAUACAGUCAUCAACAUAUUUUGACCCCACAAAGGCAGUGACAGGAUAUUUUUUUUCUUUAAAAAACAAAAACAAAAAGGUGCUUAUAUACGACUUGAAAUGAUUGUCUGAUGAACACAAAAACAACAAAAAAAAAGGGGAAAAACGGGAUUGCAUCUUGUCUGCGUGACGGCUGCUUCAGCAACAUCAUCAUCAUCACAAAAAAAGGUGAAAAUGUUAAAUUCCCUCUGAUGGAUGCUUCUGAUGGAGGAUCAUCUUGCACUUUGGAUGCAAAAUGAAGAAGAAAAUCAAAAUAUUCAUGCAAGUAGUCUAGUGGGGGACUUUGAUGAGGAGGCGUGUGUCCUUUCUGAAAGCGCUUUUAAUAAAAAAAAAACGUGCUUUAUCUCUUUUUAUUCAAUAUUUAUAUCAAUCGGUCCUUUCCCCCCCAUCGUCGAUAUUUCAUAAGUCUUUUUUUUCCUCUCAGGUCCGUUUUCCCUGUAAAUAUUUCUCUUUUUUCUUAUGUGUUUUUUGUGUGUUUUUGUGUUGUUUUUGCGUAUCAUACGUCGCACUCCGAGUCACUGGAGGUGACGGACAGAAUGGAGGUUCCGGUGUCGACUCGCUCCGUCAUACUGGACACGCUGGUGGUGGGACUGGCCGCGGUGGAGGGCGACUCCGCCGAGCUGUGAGGGGUGAGGCCGGCCUCCGAGAGGGACCUCAUGCCGGCGGGUCCUAUUGCUUGGUGCUGGAGCCUGUAGCGGACAAGUGAGAGGAAGGGGAUGUGCACCUUCUCCUGAGCUGACCACAGACUGAAGCUUGGACUGGACACAAGUCAGUAAAUGUUAGGACCCAACCUGUCCACUUUGUUACUCUCCUGAAGCUCAUCCAGGAAGGGUAAUUCCAAGUGGCACCGUUUGGAGAAAGCUCCCUGGACUGGAAGUAAAAGGCUGGUAUUUUCACGCUGGGGUUAAAGCCAAGCCUCACACACACACACACACACACACACACACACACACACACACACACACACACUAAAUGAAGUUACAAGUGAAGGCUUAGCACCACUAGAGCCUAAUAUGCAAAGCCUCCUUACCUGACUGGCUCUCCUGGUGCACCAAUUUAGGUGUCCACCAUUGAAAGCAAAGCUGCAGGUAUUAUCUAGCAUUAUGUUUUAGUGGAGCCUCUCUCUCCCUCUCUCUCUUUUUUGGGGUGGGGUUGCCCCUCGCAGGCAAUUCGGAAAUCACUCCUAUAGAGUGGACAAGAGGUGAAAUGCAAAACCUGAAUGGAGGGAGUGAGGGGAGAGAAUGGGGAGUGGGGCAUGGGAGUGCUAAUUCACAUUCUUUUACGCGCCUUUUGUUUACGUUAAGCAUGUAAUUAACACCCCCCCAAACAAGUUUAUUCACCUGCCGCUAAUUGUGUGUUUAUCCGAGGGCUUACUCAAUGUUCCGAGCAGCGGGGGGGUGGGGGUGGGUGUUAGUCUUGAAUGCACAGGCAGUGCAUUUAUUUAUGUUGAGUGUAACACAAACACUGCAGUGUUGAUUGCGCGCAUGGGACGUCCAACUCUUACACAUAUAAGUUAAAAGUGCACUCAUUCCGCAAUUAAUAUAACAUUCAUCCGAUGCGGCUUGCUUUGCGACACUCGGGAGCUCAAUGAUGGCUGUUAAUUGACCAAUUAGUGCUUUUAUUGCAAGGGCCGUCCUGUUCCGUGUAUACGGCAAAUAAACAAAGCUGCUGUGACGUCAUCGGUGAGGGAGGAGUGCAAAGACAGGAGAAAUGUGUCAAAGUGAAAAGAAGGUAGCAAGUUUUAUUUGUGACCUCUGUGUGUGUUUGUGUGUGCAUGCAGAUGUGUACGUGCACGCCCCUCCCUGACGCGCGUGCACACAGGAGAGAGACAGCCUGCGUGGCCACAACGUGCACAUAAAGCAGCACAGCCACGUUUGUAGUUGAGCCAUCGUGGAGAGGACUCAAUGCAAAGAGCGUCACCAUGUGAGUAUUGCCGUUUAAAAAAUGAUUAAAGAAAUGUUUAAAAUGUUUAAAAAAAUAUUGAAACACUUAAAAUUAUGAUUUUCAUUAUUUUUGUCAAUUUAAUUCUGAGCUGGUAACGUUAGGUUUGCAGGUUUUAUUUGAGAAUGUGUAGACUCGUUGUGAUAACUUUAUUUAUUAUUAUUGUUAUUAUAUUAUUAUUAUUAUUAUUGUUAUAUAACUUUAUUUUUCAUAAUUUUAUAAAAGUUUAUUUGUCUGCAUGUUACAUGUGCAAAAUGUAUAUAUUUUUUAAAAGGGCUUUUUUAAAAAGGGUUAGUAAAAGUAAAAGUAAAACAUUUGACUUUUUUUGUUGCUUAAUUUUAUUUACAUUACAUUUAUUUUAGAACAUUAUUUACAUUCAUAUUUCCUAGAGGUCAUAGUGACGCAGCUAUUUUGAAGCCUAAUUUCAUAUCAUCCUAUUAUAUUGUACGUGCAUUAUGCAUAAAGGCAUUUGAAGAGCUGCAGCCCUCAAAAUAUAAACGCCAUAAACCACAACAACUUGGAAUGGGGCUAAUAUAUAUAUAUUAUAUAUCCUAUAUUUACACCCAAGUAUUAAAGCAGAGUUUCAAGCCAACUUUCUAAAGUCCCCCCCUGCUCUUGUGCUGCUGUAUAGUUUGCAUUGUGUGCUCUCAUUAGGGGGACUUCCUGGCAGGGCAGGGCGCUUGUAUCGGAGCUGUCCAAUCAGUGCAUUUACACGGCUUGUUAGCGACAGUUAAUGAGGGCUCCUCCCCCUCUUCGCUCCUUCUUCCUCUCCUCAGCAUUAACAUUCAUACAUUGUGUCAACUUCUAAUGAAGCUGCCAGCAAAAAGCCUCCAAGUUUGAGUUGCAUCUUUCACUGCAGGUCUGCAUGCUUUUGUUUCACAUCAUCAUCAUCAUCAUCACCAUCACCAUCAUCAUCAUCGGCGUGUGUAGAGCCGGGUGAGCUGUAUGAUGCAUGCAUGACAGAUCCGCCAUUGUUGCCUGAAUGAGGCUUGACAUGUUGCCUCUGCAGACGCGAGUUCACUUUUGCAAAACGGAGGGGGCGGUGCCCUCUGUCAGGCCCCUCCCUCUGCAACCACCCUCCACCUGCUGCACCCCCACCCCCCUUCUCCCUGUAGCACCACCACCAAAGCCAUACCAUCCGCACAUCAGUGCCCUUCAAUUCAGGUACAAACAGUGGCGAGUGGUGGACCCCCCCCCCCCCCCCCCUUCCCCCCACCUCCAGAGACACCACUUAAAAAUCAAUUAGGACUCCUCUGGCACCAUGACACAAACAGGUGGCCCAGCUCCUACAUUUUGGAUUACACAUAAAGUGCUUACAGUAUUUGACUUACAGGACAUCAUUUUUUAUUUAUUAUUAAUAAGCUCAUGGAAUAGUUUCCAAGAUUUCAAAGUUCCUCAUUGGCUCAUGAUGUGAUAAGUCAAAUUGUCAGAACUUUCAAAAGAGAUGAUACGUACCCCAAAUGGCCAUUUUUAUUAUGGGGAAAAUGAGAUUACUAACACAUAUUGUUAUUUAGCUCUACUGUGACUAUUAUUUAUAGGAUGUGAUAUUAUAGUUCUAGCCUUGAUACAGGAAAAAGCAUGGGAAUUUUACUUUAGCUUGACAAAUUCCAUGAAACAUCACAUUUAUACUUCAACAUGUCUGAAAAUUAGUAGUAAGAACUUAAAUAAAGAUAUCAUAAAUAUUUCAAUUCAUUGCAGUCUUUUCUAAUGAUGUAUUUUUGGUGUAGAGGGAGGAAGUGGUGGAGGAAGGGGAAUCCUUCCCAUGCAGGCCUGCUUGUUCAGUCUUCCAGGUAGAUGGUCUGAUGCGGAGACAUAUAAAUAUAGCAUAUAUAUAUA